UACGAAGGGGGCUAGCGUUGCUCGGAAUCACUGGGCGUAAAGCGCACGUAGGCGGAUUGUUAAGUCAGGGGUGAAAUCCUGGAGCUCAACUCCAGAACUGCCUUUGAUACUGGCGAUCUCGAGUCCGGGAGAGGUGAGUGGAACUGCGAGUGUAGAGGUGAAAUUCGUAGAUAUUCGCAAGAACACCAGUGGCGAAGGCGGCUCACUGGCCCGGUACUGACGCUGAGGUGCGAAGGCCAGGGGGGCAAACGGG
rnacentral:rRNA from 1 species